rnacentral:rRNA from 1 species
UACGUAGGGUGCAGGCGUUAAUCGGAAUUACUGGGCGUAAAGCGUGCGUAGGCGGUUUGUUAAGACAGGUGUGAAAUCCCCGGGCUUAACCUGGGAACUGCGCUUGUUACUGGCAGACUUGAGUGUGGCAGAGGGGGGUGGAAUUCCAGGUGUAGCAGUGAAAUGCGUAGAUAUCUGGAGGAACACCGAUGGCGAAGGCAGCCCCCUGGGCUAACACUGACGCUGAUGCACGAAAGCGUGGGGAGCAAGCAGG